rnacentral:snoRNA from 1 species
CCCAGCAGUAGGCAACUGCCUAAAUUACACUGUGCCUAGGAAAGUGUUACACUGCUGAGAGAAAAACAGCUAAUAGCCAGCAGGCAUUCUGGGUUUGGUUAAUGCCAAAUUUGUAUUAACUAUACCAGUGUGUCAACAUA